AGAUUGGUCAUCUCGAAGA
rnacentral:misc_RNA from 1 species